rnacentral:rRNA from 1 species
GAUGAACGCUGGCGGCGUGCCUAAUACAUGCAAGUCGAGCGAACGGACGCGACUCUUGCUUUUCUGAUGUUAGCGACGGACGGGUGAGUAACACGUGGUUAACCUCCCUAUAAGACUUAGAUCACUUCAGGAAACCGGAGCUCAUACCGGAUCCUAUUUUUAACCGCAUGGUUCAAAAGUGUAAGACCGUCUUGCUGUCACUUCUCGAUGUAUCCGCGCUGCAUUAGCUAGUUGGUAUGGUAACGGCUUACCAAGGCAACGAUGCAUAGCCGACCUGAGAGGGUGGUCGGCCACACGGGAACGGAGACACGGUACAGACUCAGACGGGAGGCAGAAGUAGGGAAUCGGCCGCAAUGGGCGAAAGCGUGACGGAGCAACGACGCGGGAGUGAUGAAGGUCUUCGGAGCGUAAAACUCUGUGAGUAGGGAAGAACAUAUGUGUAAGUAACAGUGCACAUCUUGACGGUACCGAAUCAGAAAGCCACGGCUAACUACGUG